rnacentral:rRNA from 1 species
UUUUAACUUUAAACGGAGGGGGGCGGCUUAAACUGGGAGGGACACUCGCGGGAUCUGACGACGAGUGCCAGCAGUGAAGGCGGGGCAGAUGAUUGGGCGUCGAACCGAAACAAGGUAACCCAGACCAGGGCAAGUCGAACAAGGCAACCUCAGCAGGCAAGCGGAACAAGGAAACCUCAGACAGGCAAGGACGAACAAGGUAACCUCAUCAGUAAGCCUAACAAGGUAUUUUUUAGGGAAGGGUGACAAGGCAACCUCACAGUCAAGCGUAAAGGGGAACCUAGCCAGCAAGCGAACAGGUAGCCCAAAUACGAGUUCUAUAGGACUAAAUAGCU